UACAGAGGGUGCGAGCGUUAAUCGGAAUUACUGGGCGUAAAGCGCACGUAGGUGGCGACGUAAGUCGGAUGUGAAAACCCAGGGCUCAACCCUGGGCCUGCAUUCGAUACGGGCAGACUAGAGUUCGGUAGGGGAGACUGGAAUUCCUGGUGUAGCGGUGAAAUGCGCAGAUAUCAGGAGGAACACCGGUGGCGAAGGCGGGUCUCUGGGCCGAAACUGACGCUGAGGAGCGAAAGCGUGGGGAGCAAACAGG
rnacentral:rRNA from 1 species